UCUCAAUUCCUUCCCACGGGGGGAAUAAUUCUGCAGAUUGUGAAAUUCCUGGGAUCAAGUUCAAGUAUUCGAUUUGGAAAAACCUAGAAGCUUUCUACUCUGACAUUUCCGAACGUCAAGCCAAGUUAAAGAUGUUUCUGAUUUGGAUGAACGAGAGAGCGAGAUAAAGUGAGACACACACACACACAGUAUCUAGAAGGUGGAGUGUGUUUUGACCAAUGAGCUACAGAAACACGCACAAACGCACAGUUUCCUUCUCGUAGUCAGGUCCGUUAGUCGGUUUUAGACUGAAACCCGGUGUAAAUUGCUCUGUGAGCUCCGUUUAGUGCUCGUGUUGCGGCAGCACUAUGGUCUCGAGUGUUCUGUGGAUCUCGGUUGCGACGCUGGCGUUUCUGCGCCUCGCGGAGACAGGUUCUGAGUAUGCGUUGCUGCAUGAAGGAGAAAAAUGUGGAGAAUACGACCAGGGCAGGUGCGAAUCCGGUCUCAUCUGCGUGCCUGACAAUCCCGAGCCCGAGUUAUUCAACGCAGUAGGAGUGUGCACCACUUUCUUGAUGUAUGACUUUUAUGCCAACGACAUGGAAACGCCUCCCAAACCCGAGGUACCUGCAUAUGAGUGUAAGGAGUGGAGCUGUGAGGUUCAGGCCUGCGAGUGUGUGUGUCAAUAUAGAAAAUGUGUCUACAGGUUAGCUCCACUUAACGAGGCCGCCUGCUGCGACGUACUGAAGGAAUCUGGGUGCCUUAAUACGUCGUGUCCUGGGACUCCCACUCUGGCUUGUCCGGCAGACUCCUUCAUUAGUGAGCCCCACACCGAACCCGGUCACUGCUGCCCUGUUGUGCCUGCUAUGUGCACCUGCGACUUCCAGACCUGCACUCCAAAACCCACAUACUGCCCUAACCGCGGACUUCCCCGACUCCUUGUGAAGGGAAACGGCCACCCGGGGACCUGCUGCGACCGCUACGAGUGUGUGAAAGAAGGAGAUUAAUUAGCAUGUGUAAUAUAAUACACACUUUUAUCUUAUUAUCCUUGUGAAACUAACCGUAACCUCACUAACCGUAACCUUAACCUCAGUAACCAAAAGGAAACAUUUCGGCUCUGGUAGAUUUAUUUUUCAUUUCAGGCAAACACCUUGCUGUUUCAUGUAAUGCUCAGAAUGCUUGAUGUGCAAAAAAAUCUGGAAUGUACUCAACAAUAAAAGAAAUAUUUACAGGAAGAAAUUGUCUCUCGUGUUUAUGAAGCGUUAACCUGAACAGUGUGAGAUUGAGAAGAGAAGGAAAGCCAGAUCAAACAUCUGGACGUAUCGGAC
ensembl:lncRNA